UGGCUCAGUUGGUAGAGCAUGGUGUUUGCAACGGCAGGGUUGUGGGUUCGAUUCCCAC
rfam:Salmo salar isolate Sally breed double haploid chromosome ssa24, whole genome shotgun sequence.